AUUGAACGCUGGCGGCAGGCCUAACACAUGCAAGUCGAGCGGAUGAAGGGAGCUUGCUCCUGGAUUCAGCGGCGGACGGGUGAGUAAUGCCUAGGAAUCUGCCUGGUAGUGGGGGAUAACGUCCGGAAACGGGCGCUAAUACCGCAUACGUCCUGAGGGAGAAAGUGGGGGAUCUUCGGACCUCACGCUAUCAGAUGAGCCUAGGUCGGAUUAGCUAGUUGGUGGGGUAAAGGCCUACCAAGGCGACGAUCCGUAACUGGUCUGAGAGGAUGAUCAGUCACACUGGAACUGAGACACGGUCCAGACUCCUACGGGAGGCAGCAGUGGGGAAUAUUGGACAAUGGGCGAAAGCCUGAUCCAGCCAUGCCGCGUGUGUGAAGAAGGUCUUCGGAUUGUAAGGCACUUUAAGUUGGGAGGAGGGGCAGUAAGUUAAUACCUUGCUGUUUUGACGUUACCAACAGAAUAAGCACCGGCUAACUUCGUG
rnacentral:rRNA from 1 species